UUAUAGUCAAAUAAAAUAUUCACAAUUCUAAACGGUUCUAUCCUUCAAUUUAAGUUCUUGAUACAUAAACUUAUUUGUGUAAAAAGGAAUUUACCGUAAGACAGAUAGAUUCAAGCCCAUUUCGUCGGUUUGUUAUAAUUUUUGCUGUAUAGCUUAUUAUAUUAAUACAAGCAUUCAACAAUAAUAUAUUUUUACGAAAAUAUUAUCCCCAUUUUAGUUGUCCAGUUUCAAUAAUGCAAUUAAUAACAUUUAUGACAUAUACAUAAAUUUAGAAUACUUGAAAGUAAAUAUUCUUUUAUUCAAUCUCGAUUAACUUUGCACAUUUCAACAGUAAAAAAAUCUAUGCCUACAUUUGCCUACAUUAUUUUGUUAAACAUCAUGUGAAACCUGAUCGAUUCAUCGGUAUUUAUCUGUUUAACUCGGGAUCCGCUUUUAACUGGAAAAUACUUUUAGGACAGUUUAAAACAAACGGUAAAA
rnacentral:lncRNA from 1 species